rnacentral:rRNA from 1 species
UCUGGUGACGAUAGCGAAGUGGACACACCUGUUCCCAUCCCGAACACAGAAGUUAAGCACUUCAACGCUGAUGAUAGUACCACGGUGCGAAAGUAGGAAGUUGCCAGGC